UCUCGCUCGCGGGCGCGCGCAUCGGCUGGGUGACCUGCGUGGUCCCGCGGCGCCGGGCGGAAGAUGGCGGCGGCGGCUGCCCGAGGCACAGGCACGGCGUGGCCGGGGCUUGGCGGCUCCUCGGCUGAGGACAGAAUGGUGUCUUGAAGUAUAAGAGUCUGUCUGUAGACUUCGAUAUUUCAGAGGAGUGAGAUGUCCACAGGAGGGGUGGAAAGCAGCUCCCUUGGGCUUAUGCGGGUCUUGGACCAGACCUAAUCUGGGUGGAAAAGGAAAACUGGAUCAUGGCUUACCAAAACUUGGUGGAAAAGUGGAGCCUUCUGUUCUUCAGACCCUAUUAAUACACAGAUUCAAGGUCAAGAGCUGAAACUGGAUAUUGCAUGAAUUAUCUUUUUUUCCAAAAUUAUCAGGGAAGUUAAAUGAGAUUCCUGCAGUAAAGAAAGUACAGCACUAGAAAACCUUUUUGGGUGUCCAUAUUGCAAGCCUGUUAGUCUGGGAUAGAAGAACAUCACAAAAUAUCUGAAUGACCCUGAGAACUAGCAACUGUUUUUUGAGCACAAAUGUUUCUGCUCACUUUUUUACAAGUAUAAAAUGCAUACUGUUGAGUGCACAAAUUAAAAUUUUCAAAUCAUUGUA